CAGCGCGGGUAGCAAUACCUGGCGGCGACCGGCAAACGGGUGCGGAACACGUACGCAACCUUCCUUUAAGCGGGGAAUAGCCCAGGGAAACUUGGAUUAAUACCCCAUAUUAUUACGAAAUGGCAUCAUUUUGUAAUUAAAGCUCCGGCACUUAAAGAUGGGCGUGCGGCUGAUUAGGUAGUUGGCGGGGUAACGGCCCACCAAGCCUACGAUCAGUAACUGGUGUGAGAGCACGACCAGUCACACGGGCACUGAGACACGGGCCCGACUCCUACGGGAGGCAGCAGUAAGGAAUAUUGGUCAAUGGACGCAAGUCUGAACCAGCCAUGCCGCGUGGAGGAUGAAGGCCCUCUGGGUUGUAAACUUCUUUUAUAUGGGAAGAAACCCAUCUUUUCUAAGGUGGUUGACGGUACCAUUUGAAUAAGCACCGGCUAACUCCGUGCCAGCAGCCGCGGUAAUACGGAGGGUGCAAGCGUUAUCCGGAUUCACUGGGUUUAAAGGGUGCGUAGGUGGACAGGUAAGUCAGUGGUGAAAUCUCCGAGCUUAACUCGGAAACUGCCGUUGAUACUAUCUGUCUUGAAUGUAGUGGAGGUGAGCGGAAUAUGUCAUGUAGCGGUGAAAUGCUUAGAUAUGACAUAGAACACCCAUUGCGAAGGCAGCUCGCUACACUAUUAUUGACACUGAGGCACGAAAGCGUGGGGAUCAAACAGGAUUAGAUACCCUGGUAGUCCACGCCCUAAACGAUGGAUACUCGACAUCAGCGAUACACAGUUGGUGUCUGAGCGAAAGCAUUAAGUAUCCCACCUGGGAAGUACGACCGCAAGGUUGAACUCAAAGGAAUUGAC
rnacentral:rRNA from 1 species